UACGAAGGGGGCUAGCGUUGCUCGGAAUCACUGGGCGUAAAGCGCACGUAGGCGGCUUUCUAAGUCAGGGGUGAAAUCCUGGAGCUCAACUCCAGAACUGCCUUUGAUACUGGAGAGCUUGAGUCCGGAAGAGGUGAGUGGAACUCCGAGUGUAGAGGUGAAAUUCGUAGAUAUUCGGAAGAACACCAGUGGCGAAGGCGGCUCCCUGGUCCGGUACUGACGCUGAGGUGCGAAAGCGUGGGGAGCAAACAGG
rnacentral:rRNA from 1 species